rnacentral:rRNA from 1 species
AUCCAACCUGCCGUCUACUCUUGGACAGCCUUCUGAAAGGAAGAUUAAUACAAGAUGGCAUCAUGAGUCCGCAUGUUCACAUGAUUAAAGGUAUUCCGGUAGACGAUGGGGGAUGCGUUCCAUUAGAUAGUAGGCGGGGUAACGGCCCACCUAGUCUUCGAUGGAUAGGGGUUCUGAGAGGAAGGUCCCCCACAUUGGAACUGAGACACGGCCCAGACUCCUACGGGAGGCAGCAUG